GACGAACGCUGGCGGUGUGCUUAACACAUGCAAGUCGAACGGUAAGGCCCUUUCGGGGGUACACGAGUGGCGAACGGGUGCGUAACACGUGAGUAACCUGCCCUCAUCUCUGGGAUAACAGUCGGAAACGGUUGCUAAUACUGGAUAUGAGCUUGCAAGGCAUCUUGUGGGUUGGAAAGAUUUUUUUUGGUUGGGGAUGGACUCGCGGCCUAUCAGCUUGUUGGUGUGGUAGUGGCUCACCAAGGCUUCGACGGGUAGCCGGCCUGAGAGGGCGACCGGCCACAUUGGGACUGAGAUACGGCCCAAACUCCGACGGGAGGCAGCAGUGGGGAAUAUUGCACAAUGGACGGAAGUCUGAUGCAGCAACGCCGCGUGCGGGAUGACGGCCUUCGGGUUGUAAACCGCUUUCAAUUGUGACGAAGCGUUUUUGUGACGGUAGCAGUAGAAGAAGCACCGGCUAACUACGUG
rnacentral:rRNA from 1 species